UACGUAGGGGGCAAGCGUUAUCCGGAUUUACUGGGUGUAAAGGGAGCGUAGACGGCAGAGCAAGUCUGAAGUGAAAGCCCGCGGCCCAACUGCGGGACUGCUUUGGAAACUGCCCGGCUAGAGUGCUGGAGAGGUAAGCGGAAUUCCUAGUGUAGCGGUGGAAUGCGUAGAUAUUAGGAGGAACACCAGUGGCGAAGGCGGCUUACUGGACAGUAACUGACGUUGAGGCUCGAAAGCGUGGGGAGCAAACAGG
rnacentral:rRNA from 1 species